GCUAUGGGGAGGGAUGGGGAUGCUAUGGGUGCCAUUGGGUGGUGUAGGGUGCUAUGGGUGCCAUUGGGUGCUAUGGGGUUGUGUAGGGUGCUAUGGGUGCCAUUGGGUGCUAUGGGUGCCAUUGGGUGCUAUGGGUGCCAUUGGGUGCUAUGGGUUGCUGUGGGGCGCUGUGGGGUGGUGUAGGGUUCUAUGGGCACCAUAGGGCUGUGGAAAAUCCUAAAAGGAGAUUCCUGAAGGAAAACCGAAAGGGGGGGGAACCCAAAAGGGGGGGACCCAAAGAGGGGGGGAACCCAAAGGGGGAAACCCAAAGGGGAGGGGAAACUCAAAGAGGGGGGAACCCAAAGAGGGGGGACCCCAAAGAGGGGAACCCAAAAGGGGGGAGCCCAAAAGGUGGGGAAUCCAAAGGGGGAACCCAAAGGGGAGGAACCUAAAAGGGGGGGGAACCCAAAGGGGAGAACCCAAAGAGGGGAACCCAAAGGGGGGAACUCAAAGAGGGGGGAACCCAAAGUGGGGGGAAUCCAAAGGGGGAAACCCAAAGUGGAGUGAACCCAAAGAGGGGAACACAAAGGGGGUGGGGAACCCAAAGGGGGGGGACCCCAAAGAGGGGAACCCAAAAAGGGGGAGCCAAAAAGGGGGGA
rnacentral:lncRNA from 1 species